AACCUUAUUGAAUGUUCCUUUCAAACCAUCAGAGAAUCCAUCUCAUGCCAUGUGAUUGUCCCACAAUUCAGAAAACAUUAAUUUAUCUGAGUAAAUGUUACUUUAUAAACUUCUCCUUUUAUCUGAGCCACUCACAAGGAUUUAAUCAUAACUUUCUUCUUUUUCUGGCUAGCUAUUUGCUAUCAUUUGCUGUGGGUACCAACAGGAGGGAUUUGGAGAACAAUCAUUUUAGUCACAUGCCCUAGUUUAGAGAAACCAAAAAUAAUCAUAUGUCCAUGUCUACUGAUUUAGUAUCAGAUGACAGAAUACAAUGUAAAUUGGUCAUAACUUAUUUUACAGGAAAAACAGGCAUAAAUCAUAUAUAAAAAUAGAUCUCUAUAUUCUUUGUCCUGCAUUUAACAUCACACUUAUGCCACUAUUGUUUAUUAUCAGAAAACACAGUCUCUUGUAUGAAAUAAGCAAAGUUAUUUGUUGUAUUGCUGGUAAAGCUUUCUGAUUCAAAUUGAUAAGGUUUAAGCUGAGCUUUGGAAAUAUAUUUGCAGUUGUCAAGACCGCACUUUCAUAGUACAGGAUAAAACUCAACAACAGACUUCAACAGUUCUGUGUUUGACUGAUCUUCCGACUGUGAGAUAUUAGCAAAAGCAUCCCAUAUGCAUUUGAGAUUUGACUUGCCUCGUUUCCUCUACAGAUCCAAGUGUGGCCUUCUGACAGCACAUAUGUGUCCUUACAGUUAUAAAUAAAAACCAGAGAUACUCACAUUUAGCCAUAUGCCUUAGCAUUCAUUUGUACUGAGAUUUUUAUAUUCUCCAAACUGAGUCUAGGUCUGAAUUCUGUGUACAUUUAAAACAGGUUGUUGUCUUCAAACUAUUUCCUCUACUUCAAGAAAGGGAUAGACAUUCCUUUUUGUUUUUUGUUUUUCCUGGAAUGCUGGCGAUCAGAGCCAGGUGUUGUGCAUGCUAGGCAAGCAUCUUUUCCACUAAGCUACCCCAAAUCCUGAUUCAUUGAAAGGUGAUUUCACUAAGGAGCUCAGACUAAUCUCAAACUUGUGAUCCUCCUGCCUCAGCUUUCCGAGUGCUGGAAUUAUAUAGAGUUGUGCCAUUUUGCUCAGCUGUAUUCUAAUUUUGUCCUCAGUAUUUUAUUCCUCCAUGUGCAUAUAUAGGUAUGGGCCUUGACCUCAGGCUAUUCAGUAUAAUGAAAUGAAUCGAUGUGGUUUUUUAGAUUCCAGAAAAGUUUCAGGGCACAGUUACAUUUCCUAUCUGUUUUACUUUCACACAAAAUUAUGCAUUUCGGAGGCUAAAAGAAACUCAAAUAAAGGAGAAUUUGAAAAUUUUGUCUGAUGCAAGCUUAAAAUAUUUUAUUCUGAAACAAGUCUAUCAGCAGGAAAGGUUGUGACCUGAUAUUAAUAAAAGGAACAAAGGGUUUUGAUUUUCUUUAUAUUCUAAUCCUAUCUGCUAAUAAAUAUUUUAACUGCAUCUUCCAAAUGCAGCAUUAUGCCGCUUUCAAAAGUCAAAGGACUGAAGUUUGGAAUAAAUUCUUUUCCUAGAGCUUCGAAUUUGUGGG
rnacentral:lncRNA from 1 species